ACUUUACUCCCUCCGAUCCAUAUUACUUGUCGAAAUAUUACAUGUAUCUAGACACUUUUUAAAUAUAGUUAUAUCCAUAUUUGGUGAAAUUUGAGACAAGUAAUAUGGAUCGGAGGGAGUAUAUU
rfam:Brachypodium distachyon strain Bd21 chromosome 1, whole genome shotgun sequence.